CUCUUUUCCUGGCGAACUUUUACGCGCUGUCUCGGGGCCUCCGCGCCUCAGCCUGAGGGCUCCAGGAGCCCCCCGCUCUCUGAGGCCCCGAAGCUGAGGUUUGUUGGGUCUCCCGGCUGCGGGAGCCAGUACGCUCUGCGUUUGCCUGGCUGCGGCAGUCGCGUGCUCUGAUUGGCUCCUGGGGCCGUCAAGAUCAGAACACUGAGGCUCAGAGAAGUUAACUACUCCAAAGUCAUAUAGCCAGUAUUUUCUGGAGCUGUAAUUCAAAUCAGAUGUGUUCAAUACCUUCUACUACCCCAUUGCUGUCUUUAUGAUUUGUAACAGAUGGAGCCAUGACAUUUUGAAUUCUCCCCAUCAUACCGUAUAACGUGAGAAAGGAUUGAAAAUGUAAAAGAAAUUUCAUUUCAAUAUAGGUGACUAUGCAGCCUGCAAUUCAAGUAUGGUUUGGAGAAGAUCUGCCUCUAAGUCCUCGGAGUCCUCUGACUCCCAGACACGGACCAGGAUUGGCUAAUGUUUGUCAGUACGAUGAGUGGAUAGCUGUGAGGCAUGAAGCCACUUUGUUGCCCA
rnacentral:lncRNA from 10 species